AUUUUUUAUAUUUGAGAGACAGACAGAGCUCAAGCAGGGGAGGGGCAUAGAGAUGAAGACAGAAUGUGAAGCAGGCUCCAAGCUCUGAGCUGUCAGCACAGAGCCUGACGUGGGGCCCGAAUCACUAGCAGUGAGAUCAUGACCUGAGCUAAAGUCGGAUGCCCAACCGACUGACCCACGCAGGCACCCCUCCAUGUGUUUUUAAAAUGGCAUAAGAUUAUUAAAAAAAAAAAAUCUUUUUUUAAUGUUUAUUUUUGAGAGAGAGAGAAAGAGACAGCGUGAGUGGGGGAGGGGCAGAAAAAGAGGGAGACACAGAAUCCGAAGCAGGCUUCAGGCUCUGAGCUGUCACCACAGAGCCCGACAUAGGGCUCAAAUCCACAAACAGUGAGAUCAUGACCUGAGCUGAAGUUGGACGCUCAACCAACUGAGCCACCCAGGCGCCCUGGCAUAAAAUUAUUUUUAGUAACUGCAUAAUUUCCAUGGAUAUGUACUUGCUAUAAUUAAUUUCAUAGUUGUUGGGCAUUUAGGUCAUUUGCGAGUUUAUAGAAAAAUAAUUCCUCAGUGAACAUAUUUUUGCAUGGAACACCGUUUGCACGUAGGAUUAUUUCUGUACAAUAAGAAUCCUAGACUCCAGUUAUAGGAGUCUUGACUCCUAUGUUGACUAGUAUUACCAGAUAGUUUUCACUAACCAUUGUACCAAUUUAUAUGUUUAACACUAGUGUAUUAAGGUACUUAUCUCAGAAAGUGAAUUUCCUAAUUAAAUGCUUUCCUCUAGGUUUCCAAGUUAGGUGGUACAAAGAAAUUAAAAGGCAGACCAAGGCUGUGAAUGUAAUUUCUUCAGUUUCAUCUCUCAUGAAGUGAAUGUGGCCUUUUUGCUCCUCCAGCUCUUACGUACUCUCCUUAACCUGCCACCCAGUGCUCCCUGUGUGUGUCCCCCAGGGUCCAAGUUCACCAUAGUGAUUUCAAGCAUCAUGUCCUCACACUGUCAUAUCCAGAAGCCAGAAGAAAGGAGAUCCUGUCUCACAUUCCUCUUGAAGAGCAGAGCAAACCUUCUCAGGAGCUCUCUGUCCCUUGUUGGUCAGGGGUGGGUCCCCCUCAGUGGCAGGGCGUUGGAAUAGCCAUGAGCGGUGGACUGGUCUGUAGGUACUGGCGUGGUUAGGGAGAAGUCCUCAAGGCACAGGGGCACUUAGUUUCUGAACAGAUUGGAGGUUUUAUUAAUAGAGAAGUGGGGAAAUGGGUAUUGGGGUUUCCAUAGCUCUUGAUUCUUCAUUCCUAAUCUCCCAUAACCUCCACAUGCAGUACAUUUUUUUUCAUUUCUGCGUUUCAGCUCUGUAAGGGAUCUUGUUUACAUGUUUAACUUAGUACGGAGUCUGGGCCUAAUGAGUAUGUAUUGAGUGAAUGAAUGAAUAAAUGAACAUGGUUAGACUUCACUGUCUUCCACGGUAGAGUCAAAUGAAUAGUAUAGACCAAGGCUGAUAACUGGGUUUAUCUUGUUUGCCAACUCAGAUCUGGUAAUGGUUUCCUAGAGUGAUGUGUUGAGAAGGAUUCUGAGGCUGCAUCCAGGGUUCAGUAAGAAAGAAAGCUUGGUUCGAUUAUUACUGUCUGUAGUGGGUUGGGAAAGGAGGCUGGUAACAUCCAUUUCUGAUACAAGUGAGUCAUUUUUUGCACAUGAUUAGGUGCCUAAUAUGAAAUGGGUGCUGAGUGUGUUACUGAGAUAACAAGAUGGGUGGGGUAUCCUACCUUGGGAAUCCACGUUCAGUGGCCAAGUUAGAUGUAAAUAAAUGGGUGUUUGGGUUUUGUUUUUUGUUUUUGUUUGUUUGUUUUUUU